GACGAACCGUCCUAACGUUGUUCGGAAUCACGUGGCUUAAAGGGCGCGUAGGCGGCUUGCCAAGUCAGGGGUGAAAUCCUGCAGCUUAACUGUAGAAGGGCCUUUUGAUACUGGCGAGCUCGAGGGAGGUAGGGGUAUGUGGAACUUCCGGUGGAGCGGUGAAAUGCGUUGAUAUCGGAAGGAACGCCGGUGGCGAAAGCGACGUACUGGACCUCUUCUGACGCUGAGGCGCGAAGGCCAGGGGAGCGAACGGGG
rnacentral:rRNA from 1 species